CUUAAACAUCUUCACAGAAAAAAAUCUUACUUAAAUACAAUCGUAUUCUCUUCCCUUUCUCACAGCUGCUUAUUUCAUGUAGUUUUAAUUAGCGUGCACAAUUUAUUUUGCAUUUUAAAAUUUUAUUUCCCAGUACACAUUUUCAUGCACGUGCCAAAAAUUUCACAGGUUCCUCACAGUCUGCAUACCUGCCAGGAUUCUUUCUGUUAAUGUGACAGAGCUUGAUUGGAUCAUUCAGUCGCUGGACAGUUGGGUCCCUUCCCAGGUCUUGGUCAUUACGAACGUUCUGAAUAACCCUGCUGUAAACAUUUUAUGCAAGCGCUCCCCCACUUCCCCCUUUGGGUCAUUUCCUUAGAAAUGUACUUCCUUAAAUGGGUUUACUGGGUCAAAGGGGCUCUAUGAACAGUUUUAUAGCUGUUGGCACAUAUUGUUCAGAUUGCGCCCUGGGAGAGUGGACCAAUGGCACCGGCCGCGAGCCGCCAGGAAUGCGCAGGAGCGGUCCCUAUAGCCUCCCCUCUCUCGCCUCCCCGCAAAAAAGGCCGCGGGUGGAAAGUGUUUUGCAGUCGCUCUCCCGUUCUCUCGACGUGGCUGGCGAAGCCCGGCCGUCAGGGAGGUGCGGGAAGGCUCCGCGAGCCCAGGCUUUCUGCCCCGGGGGCGGAAGCAACUCUUCCCGGCCCUCGCGCCCCAGGACUCGGAUUCCAGCCGCCUCCGCUCUUUCCGAAUUCCGGGCUCCAGCGCGCGGCGCCCCCGCCCGCCCGCGGCCUGGGAGCCGAGCUCGGCGGUCGAGGCCGCGACCCGCGCGCGCUGUUAUUUUGGCGCGGGCGAUGCAGGGCCCGCAUAGCUGCGCGCUGAGUCAGCGGGGCCCGGGGACCCGCGAUGGGCCCCUCCCGGCGGCGCAGGGACAGGGACAGGGCGGUGGGGCGGGGGCUCCGCCACCGAGGCCUCAGGGUCGGCCCGCCUGGAGGGGAGCCCCAGACAGCAGUCCCACCCCCGGCUCGGCGGUGACCGCGCGCCGGCCAUUGAGAACCCCCAAAAAGGCGGAGGAGGGAGGCGCAAAAGAGAAGCGAAGCCGCUCGCGCAGGCAGGAGGGAAGAAAAGGCAGAGCGGGCGGCGAGCACGGGCCGGCCGGCCGGCCGGCG
rnacentral:lncRNA from 1 species